rnacentral:rRNA from 1 species
CGUGACGCUGCAGAUACUUACCAUGCAAGUCAACUUGAACUUCGGUUUGGGUGGCGGACGGGUGAGUAACGCGUAAAGAACUUGCCUCACAGCUAGGGGCAACAUUUGGAAACGAAUGCUAAUACCUGAUAUUAUUAUUUUAUGGCAUCAUAGGAUAAUGAAAGCUAUAAGCGCUGCGAGAGAGCUUUGCGUCCCAUUAGCUAGUUGGAGAGGUAACGGCUCACCAAGGCGAUGAUGGGUAGCCGGCCUGAGAGGGUGAACGGCCACAAGGGGACUGAGACACGGCCCUUACUCCUACGGGAGGCAGCAGUGGGGAAUAUUGGACAAUGGACCGAGAGUCUGAUCCAGCAAUUCUGUGUGCACGAUGAAGUUUUUCGGAAUGUAAAGUGCUUUCAGUUGGGAAGAAAAGAAUGACGGUACCAACAGAAGAAGUGACGGCUAAAUACGUGCCAGCAGCCGCGGUAAU